GCGCACGUAGCCCAAUCGGCAGGAGGCGUCACCUUGAGGUGGUGAACAGUGCUGGUUCGAAUCCAGCCGUGCGCACCA
rnacentral:tRNA from 1 species